UUUUUAAUUUAAUAAUUUCGGUGACUCAAGCUGUGUAGUUAAACUUCUACAACAAAGCGUUCACUCGAGUUGAUCAGUUUGAAAUUUCUUUUGCAAUCGUUUACACUAAUUUCAAAAUCUUGAAACACCCGUUAAAUUUUACGUUUUGACCCGGUGCAAAUCCUGGCAAUCCGAUUCUACUAUAUAAAUAUUCGCAGUUAAGGUUUAAUACUUAGCGAUAAUACUUACUUAGGAAAUAUGACUAUUGAUUACACAAGAAAAAUAGAUAUUUUCGGAAAGAUUUGGAUAGUUUCGUCCCUUUAAUCGAAUAAGACAAUUCAAAUUAUCCCAUUAUCUUAGAAAUAUUGAAAUUUGUUCACGAAAAUUGAAAUUUUGCGUGCAUGUUUAGUUAAAUAUUUCAGUCUAGAUAAUACUUAACAUCGACAGUAUAAUUGCAAAUUGUUAGCUAAAGUUUAUCAAUUUUUACGCUCCACUAAUGCUCAAAAAGUACUUGCUAGCUUAGCAAUCAUGCACUGUUGGUAAAAGUAACAUUUCAGCUAAACUUGAAUUAGUUAUAGCAAUAUAUCUUUUGAAACAUUCUUGUGUGACUUACUUAGAAAAGAAGUAUUUCGCUAUACAAAUAUUUGAAAGCACUUUUAAAUUCACACUUGUAUUAUAUUACAUACUACACGGUGUUCUUAUAAGUCCAACUUAUAGUAUAGUGAAAUCAAAACGGAAACCUUUCUCAAAGCUGUAAGAAAUUUAUAAAAUUCGACAUACAAGUCUUGUAUUUCGGAGAAAAAUAUUUUGAUUUUAUAUUUCCUUAAAUUGAUACUAAUUGAUUUGAGCAGUAGUACACAAAAAACCAAUGUCAAAAGCUUUAUUCAUCAAUGUUUGUUUUUGUUCUUAAUAUUUGAAAAGCUUGAAAGAAAUCUGAACGUCUCAGGUUAAAUUUUUAUUUGACCGUAUAAUGUGCUUCUUGCUAUUUUCAUUUUUUCCACAAAUAAAAAAAUCGAAAAGUCUACUUAGCCUUUAGAGGCGGAGGGGGUUGGCAAAAGUCUACUUAAGUCUACUAGGGAGAGGGGGGUGCUGGGUUCAAAAAAUCUCAAAUUUCGGUCUACGUGGGUCCCUUAACAUCAUACAUUUAGUUGGACCAAUCAAAAAAUAAUGCCCAUAUGAACAACGGAAAAUAAAACUCACAAGGAAAGAAAAUGUUUCAUUAAACCCGCUAUUAGAAUGUAAAGAUCAGAAAUAAACUUCAAGCGUAAGAAUCGGACUGAGAUCCUUCAGCAUAAAAAACGCUAAAAAAGUUGUCAACCGCAAAACUCGACAAGGAUGAACCUCCAGUUUAAAAACCGGUUAAAAUUAAAUAAUUCGUAUGCAAGAGUAUCCGUAUAUCGCGACGUUCAAGAUAAAAAGUCGGCUAAAAAACUACUUUGUAAGAAUCGGUUAAUUUUUCCGGUUUUUAUACUGAAUGUUAUUUAAUCCGACUCUUACAGAGUAGAACCUCAGUUCGAUUUUUAUGCUUGAAGUUUAUAUAAGAAUUUCACAUUCAAACCAUUUGAAGCAGGUUUUACGAAGCAUGUUCUGUCCUUGCGAUUUUAUUUUUGGUCGUUCAUAUCCACUUGACAACACGUUCCAUGGCUACACUAGUGAACUCUAGUGAUAUGGAAAAACUCACUUUCUUCUUGCAUCUGAACCGUACACCAAAAAUUACGUAUCUGAUUCACGGUCCGCGAUCAUCCAAGAACACAUGCGAAUCUGCGAAAGGCACACGGUCAUAAAAUAUAAUUUAUACACGCGAAGUUACAUACACGUUAACAUACGCGACAUAGAAACUCACACGCGAUCGAAAACGUUAAUGUACAAACGCCUAAACCCUUCACUAUGAUACACGCAAUCGCGAACUCCCUACGCCCGCACAUAUCUGAACCGUAAAAUGAAUAUCACAUUCAGAAUCACGGCCCACUGAAAUUGGCCUUAAGUAGUUUAGUGGGUAACAUUUCCCGUCUCGUUUUCAAUUGUAUUGUUGGGAGUCCUGUCGAGACCCUAGCUCUACUGCUCCAGUAGGACAACUCUCGAGAAAAAUGUACUCUGGGUUUUAACUGGAGUGUGCGGCGAAGGGUUACUCCCCCACAUAUCGCACCGCCAUGUCCUAACCCCAACUCGUUAAACCCCCUCAGAUCCCUCUCCACCAGUCCCAUCAGACCCCGAUAAUCUAGGUCAAUCCAAUCUGAUCCCUUAGAUAAACAGCCAAAACAGUGCACCGUAUUAUUCGUAUAAUCUAUUCAAAUUUAUUCACAGAUUCGUUUUUUUUCAGGUGUUGAACGUGAUCAUGGAAUUCGGUAAUUAUUCGUUUUCGUGACACGUAUUCAGGACUUUUUUUGGUAGAAUUAUUUACACCUGAUCUCCAUGAUAGUCCACCCUGGACACUAAUCCAGACACAUUAACCUUCCCAGAAACCAGUGUCAUGCAAACUCGUUCGAGUCCAAAUGCUUUCCGAGUUUCAAAGUUUUGCGAUCGUCUAAAUAUUUCAAAUUAAUGGUAACGAUAAACUUUGUCGGAUAGAAAAACUUUCAGUAUAGUAAUAGUCUGUAUCACCUGGCAAUCUGACUUCCUUGAAUAGCACAAACCGUCGUCUUUUUAUAUCCUUGCAUUAUGGAAACUGUACAAAAGUAAGGACAAUUAGUAGUGGUCGAAAAAUGCAAGUGUUACUCCGGAGCUCCUAUUGAACCACUAAUAAUCUAAUCGUUGCACAAUUAUUUCGUGAUUACUUUGUGUGGAAAUGAACCACAACGGCAGCCGAUACACGUCGUUCGCCUUUGCUAGUGGAGGGAUCGCUGGCAGCGGCGGUGCCCGAGGAGAAUUGAGCAGUGGUAAUUUGAGCAGAAAGCUGAGUAGUCCGAUGGCAGAGUCGACACAGCUGGACAGCAGCGGUAUCCGGGGGAAUCUUUACGACAGUCCGGUACGACAUGUUGGAGUUGGGAAAAGAAGCCUACCUCUCCGUUGCAAAAUAGCAGGACAAAUUUUAGAAGCAGCUGAACGGCGUCCGGGUCCAGUAUGGAUCGAUUGAUUGAUCCUAAGAUUUACACGGAUGUUCAGAGCCGAGGAUUGGUUAACCGGUUGGUAAAGAACCACGAUAAAACGCAAUCGCCGUUAAAUAGGAGUCAAUCGAUGACUAGCCUGUACUCGAAGCCGGGUCAAUUUCCUGUGUGGUGGAGGAGAAAUAAUUCUUCGAUAGCUACCAUUGGUUCGGAUUUCCCCGUCAGAGAAGUCCGUGUUUCAGGCUGACACAAGGUGGAACAUUUUACGGGAGGGAUCGUUGCUCAUUCCGGCGGAACCUCAUCUGAAGAUGGUCCGAACACAUAGACACGAGGAUAAGAUUGAUGCGGAAAAUAGUGUGAUUGCGCCUUCAACAGAACUGGAUGCCGAUUGGAUCAAGAAACAAUGUAAGGAACUAUCGGAGGUUGAUUCAGGCGAAGCUGGUACGAAGCAAGCUCGGGAAAUUACAUACACGGCUUCGCACCCGUGUCGAGGGUCGACGAAUCAGCAGCUACAGACGAAGAAAUGUAGUAAAAAUAAUAAGUUCACUUAGCUCGAGCCUGGUGAUGAACACUCCGAAAGUGGAACACGUAGCGCACCGGCCGGCACGAUUAAAUGUGGAUGUCUUUCUCGACGCCGGCAACAUUGGAUGCGACGGUUCCAGUUAGCAUGAUUGAAUCGAGCAAACCGGCAAAAUUAAGUAGGAUUGAUUCCGCUCCUUUGCCACAUAUUACGAGAAUUGUUCCGGAGUUUCAACUGCCUCUGAUGGAAUAUCCGCCACUAAAACUAACGUUGUUUAACAAAAAAUACAACGUCCAUGACAUGACGAAACGGUGGUUCGACCCACGUCCACAGACAGUGAAGAUAAGGAUGAUGAUGAUAAAGUAGGCGGACGAAUCAGUUUCAUUAAGCCAAAGGAUAAAUCGCCUAUGCCAAGGUUGUUUUGAAGAGGUUCGAGCGCUCGAAAUCAUCGUUGAUUCUGAGCUGCUUGAGUGAUGAUUUUGAUGAAGACGAGGAAUCGCCUAUAGUUACGCCAUCGCAGGGUUCAUUUUAUACGAUAGACACCGCGGAUGCACCACCGAAGGUUGAAGAGAAGAAACGGCUUCCGUCCCGACAAUGAGCGGUAUUUCAGCAAUAGUUAACAGCCCGAUCAAGGAUCCUGGCCUAGGUAACCGAAACCGGUGGAAAAUGUAAAAACGAUAGAGCAACCGAAGUAAACCACGGGAUUUGCUUUCGGAAGUACAACUGCUACCGUCAGCUCGGCUCCGGUUACAGCACAUCAAUCCGAUACAUAAUUUACGUUUGGGACGCCCACUUAACCGUUACUGCUAAAAUCAUAUCAUCGGAAAUACCACGUAUCGUUUUCCUGUGCUUGGAUUUCGGUACGUACGGAAUCGGACGGCGUUUAUGGCCGAUACCAUUUUAUCGGAAAAUAAUGCGAUUCGAGGUAUUAAUCACACGCCUACAUCAAAAAAUUAUAUAAUUUGCAACUAAUAUUUUAAAAAG